rnacentral:snRNA from 1 species
UUAUCUUCUCGGCCUUUUGGCUAAGAUCAAGUGUAGCAUCUGUUCUUAUCAGUUUAAUAUCUGAUAUGUCCCCCAUAGAGGGAACUGCUUUUGGGCAGUGGUGGCUCGAUGGUUAGGGAAGUGCACUUGUAAUUGAAAGAUUGCUGGUUCGAAUCCCCGACCAGCAAGGCACC